GGUAGGGUGACAGAGUGGACGAUUGUGGCGGUCUUGAAAACCGUUGUGGCGAGAGUCACCGUGGGUUCGAAUCCCACCCCUACCGCCA
rnacentral:tRNA from 1 species